rnacentral:lncRNA from 1 species
GCUCCAUAAUCUAGGGGAGGGACAGUGUUAAAUGGUCCAACCCCAGAGUUUAGAGUUUGCCACAGACAUUUACAUCCUGAACCUGUGGAGUGGGGUCUAAGAUGGGCUGGGCUACAUAGGGUGGAGUAAGGUUCCUGAUUUCUGAAGGCAGAUCUCCCAGAAUAAUCUCCUGUAACAGACUAACCAUGAAGAAAGAUGAAAGGCAAGAUGAGUGAAUACAGGAAACUAAGGUCUGGAGGGGAGCUGUGCCUGUCUGAGACUGAAUUGAAAACUGUUUUCUAUUAAUGCUGCUUGUGGAAGAAGAGUUCUAGGUUUUUGGGACAUUGAUGAGCCACUGC